AACGAACGCUGGCGGCGUGGAUAAGACAUGCAAGUCGAGCGGGAACUUUCGCUGUAGCAACACAGUGAAAGUUCUAGCGGCGAACGGGUGCGUAACACGUGGACAAUCUGCCUUAAAGUGGGGGAUAGCUCGGCGAAAGCCGAAUUAAUACCGCAUGUGAUGAGAGACGACAUCGUCUUGAAAUCAAAGCCGGGGCAACCUGGCGCUUUUUGAGGAGUCCGCGGCCAUCAGCUUGUUGGUGAGGUAACGGCUCACCAAGGCUAUGACGGGUAGCUGGUCUGAGAGGACGACCAGUCACACUGGAACUGAGACACGGUCCAGACACCUACGGGUGGCAGCAGUCGAGAAUUUUUAGACAAUGGGGAAACCCUGAUCGAGCGACGCCGCGUGGA
rnacentral:rRNA from 1 species